rnacentral:rRNA from 1 species
AUUGAACGCUGGCGGCAUGCCUUACACAUGCAAGUCGAACGGCAGCACGGGUGCUUGCACCUGGUGGCGAGUGGCGAACGGGUGAGUAAUACAUCGGAACAUGUCCUGUAGUGGGGGAUAGCCCGGCGAAAGCCGGAUUAAUACCGCAUACGAUCUACGGAUGAAAGCGGGGGACCUUCGGGCCUCGCGCUAUAGGGUUGGCCGAUGGCUGAUUAGCUAGUUGGUGGGGUAAAGGCCUACCAAGGCGACGAUCAGUAGCUGGUCUGAGAGGACGACCAGCCACACUGGGACUGAGACACGGCCCAGACUCCUACGGGAGGCAGCAGUGGGGAAUUUUGGACAGUGGGCGAAAGCCUGAUCCAGCAAUGCCGCGUGUGUGAAGAAGGCCUUCGGGUUGUAAAGCACUUUUGUCCGGAAAGAAAUCCUUGGCUCUAAUACAGUCGGGGGAUGACGGUACCGGAAGAAUAAGCACCGGCUAACUACGUG